rnacentral:rRNA from 1 species
AUUGAACGCUGGCGGCAGGCUUAACACAUGCAAGUCGAGCGGGGGAAGGUAGCUUGCUACCGGACCUAGCGGCGGACGGGUGAGUAAUGCUUAGGAAUCUGCCUAUUAGUGGGGGACAACAUCUCGAAAGGGAUGCUAAUACCGCAUACGUCCUACGGGAGAAAGCAGGGGAUCUUCGGACCUUGCGCUAAUAGAUGAGCCUAAGUCGGAUUAGCUAGUUGGUGGGGUAAAGGCCUACCAAGGCGACGAUCUGUAGCGGGUCUGAGAGGAUGGUCCGCCACACUGGGACUGAGACACGGCCCAGACGCCUACGGGAGGCAGCAGUGGGGAAUAUUGGACAAUGGGGGGAACCCUGAUCCAGCCAUGCCGCGUGUGUGAAGAAGGCCUUAUGGUUGUAAAGCACUUUAAGCGAGGAGGAGGCUACUUUAGUUAAUACCUAGAGAUAGUGGACGUUACUCGCAGAAUAAGCACCGGCUAACUCUGUGCCAGCCGCCGCCGUAA